AAGGAAUAGUUUUAUUCCCAUGAGGUUGGCCAUUUAAAUUCAUACUAUAUUUGGCUUAGAUUGAUUCUCAGUUAUUGUCAUAAUAAGUUUCUUGUUUAUAUGAUGCACAGCGAAAUGAAAAUGGUCAGUUGUUACUGUGGAAUCAGAUAGCUACUGAAAAUUCAGGCAUGCCAAUAGGUUCCUUUCUUGGACCUUCUCUUUUUCUCAAUUGAUAAAUCUCAGAGUGUCUUUUCAGUGCCUCCACAUUUUCAGCUCGAACACAAAUAAGUUUCCAGUAUAAUGUCCUAUUGCGCUUCAUCCCAACUUGCUUCCUCUUCUUCUUAUAAUUAUGCUUUCUCCUAUCUCCAUGAUUAUUGAUGACAUCUCACUCUCCUGGAUUAUUUUCUUAACUGUUCUAACCAAAUCUUGUAAGACUGAGAUCAAUUUUCACCUCUUUCCUAAAGCCAUGCAUGUCCUUCCCCAAACUUCAGCCUGAAAUAGUAUUUCCAGUUUAUGAAUAGUACUUCUAGCAUUUAUUCAGGAGUGAAUUAUGUCUAUAUCUUAUAUUAUUUAAAAUAUCUUAAAAACUUUUACACCUACUUACACUUCUAGUUUAACACUUAUCUAACUUUAUUAGAGGGUGCAGCUUGAAGGCAUACUUACUGUUAUGGGCUGAAUCGUGUUACCCAAAACUCAUAUUGAGGUCCUAACUCCUAGUAUCUCCGAAUGUGACUGUAUUUGAAGAUAAGCGUUGUCAAGAGGUAAUUAAGUUAAAACAGUGUCGUUACAUUGGGCCUUAACCAAUAUGACUAGUGUCUUUAUGAGAAGGGGAAAUUAGAAGGUAGACACACGCAGAGAAAAGACCAUGUGAAGACACGGGAGAAGACCGCCAUGCACUACCCAAGGAAAGAGACCUCAGAAGAUACCAACCUUGAUGAUCUUGAACUUCUAGAUCACACUCUGCAGCAAGAAGAUUUGAAAUUCAUGAGCUUUGCAACAUCUUCACAUCAGGACAAAUAACCCCCCUGCUGUUGAAAUCACUUGCAUAAUUUAUAACGUUCAAAAUUGGAAUUGCAUCAUUGCCUCCUUUGCAAUUACCCUGUAGUCAAGCCUUUCACCUUACUGAAAGGUCUUUAAUUUUUCUUGAUUUUUAAGCAUUUCUCAAUUUCUAAUGGGCUCAUUUGAAUGGCUUGGGAUGCUACAAAAAUCUAUUCUUAUCUAUAUAAUAGUUUAGAAGUAUAACUAUAUCCAGAUUAUGUUCAAA
rnacentral:lncRNA from 10 species